UACGUAUGGUGCGAGCGUUGUCCGGAAUUACUGGGCGUAAAGAGCUCGUAGGUGGUUUGUCGCGUUGUUCGUGAAAACUCACAACUCAAUUGUGGGCGUGCGGGCGAUACGGGCAGACUGGAGUACUGCAGGGGAGACUGGAAUUCCUGGUGUAGCGGUGGAAUGCGCAGAUAUCAGGAGGAACACCGGUGGCGAAGGCGGGUCUCUGGGCAGUAACUGACGCUGAGGAGCGAAAGCGUGGGGAGCGAACAGG
rnacentral:rRNA from 1 species